AUCAAAACAAGAAGAAAAUAUUAAAAGGACAUUUUGUGCCAGUACAUCAUGGUUGUGCUGGAUUACCUACCCAACUCUGUAUAAUGGUUUUUCAAACAAUUUGUGAAGAAUGUUAGAAUCUUCAGAGUCUUCUGCAUCAGCAAAGAGUAGUGAAACUAAUGGAAAAGAUAAAAUUUUUGGUGCUCAUGAUGACUUAAUUUAAUAGUCAGAACGUGAGAACAGCUGAGAAUUUACAUUCCUGAAAACUAGAGGCGGUUGCCGAAUCGGAUAGCCGUUGGUUCUACAGCCACUAUAAUGAUCUGAAAAGCUGAAUGAGUUGCAUGAACACUGUCAGGAAUCAUAAUAGAACUCAGCUAAUUGGAUAGAGAAGGGAAUGUUGAUUUGAAGACAAUUACUAUAUAAAGAUUUUCUCAUUGCUGCUGUGCUGUUGCAUUAACUCAAGAAGUGGAGACACUUCUACAUGGAUAAGAAUUGUGUGAUUGAAUUGAUUGUGGAAUCAUCUCAGUGUUUUCAUAAAAUAUUCACUGUAUGUAGUCAAUUUUUUCCUCAGAGUUGAUGCUUACAAAUACUUGUCAAGUUGGAAAAAUUCACUUUUACUUUUAUUUGCAUCACACUUAAUAGAUUAGAAACUAGAUUGCUUUUAAUUGAGUCUUCAUUUACAACCUCAAGGAAUAUUCUGG
rnacentral:lncRNA from 1 species